rnacentral:misc_RNA from 1 species
GAAAUGCGAUAAGUAGUGUGAAUUGCAGAAUUCAGUGAAUCAUCGAAUCUUUGAACGCACAUUGCGCCCGCCAGCACUCUGGCGGGCAUGCCUGUUCGAGCGUCAUUUCAACCCUCAGAACCCCUUGCGGGAUCUGGCGUUGGGGAUUGGCAUCCAGCCAGCCCCGAAAUCUAGUAGCGGUCCCUCCGCGACCUCCCCUGUGCAGUAGCGAUACCUCGCAGCGGGACAGCGGUCUGACCACGCCGUAAAACCCCCAACUUCUCAAGGUUGACCUCGAAUCAGGUAGGAAUACCCGCUGAACUUAAGC